GCGUCUGUAGCUCAAUGGAUAGAGCACUUGACUUCGGAUCAAGAUGUUGCGGGUUCAAGUCCUGCCAGGCGCGCCU
rnacentral:tRNA from 1 species